GAUGAACGCUGGCGGCGUGCUUAACACAUGCAAGUCGAACGAACCUUCGGGUUAGUGGCGGACGGGUGAGUAACGCGUGAGAAUCUGCCCUCAGGAGGGGGACAACAGCUGGAAACGGCUGCUAAUACCCCAUAUGCCGAGAGGUGAAAUGAAUUUCGCCUGAGGAUGAGCUCGCGUCUGAUUAGCUAGUUGGUGAGGUAAGAGCUCACCAAGGCAUCGAUCAGUAGCUGGUCUGAGAGGAUGAUCAGCCACACUGGGACUGAGACACGGCCCAGACUCCUACGGGAGGCAGCAGUGGGGAAUUUUCCGCAAUGGGCGAAAGCCUGACGGAGCAACGCCGGCGUGAGGGAUGAAGGCCUCUGGGCUGUAAACCUCUUUUAUCAAGGAAGAAGUAUCUGACGGUACUUGAUGAAUAAGACCACGGCUAAUUCCGUG
rnacentral:rRNA from 1 species